UUUAAUUAAGUGUGUGACUAACGGGUGUAGAGGGGGAUGCCCCAUACCCCAUGUUAUUGUUAAUCCUAGUAGUAUGGUUUGUUAAUUAUGAUUUAACAAUUUUAUGUUUACCAUAUCGAUCUUCCCUUUUUUAAUACCACUUAAUUCGAAUCACACUCCCUCAACUUGAAUUACAUUUAGGAUUAUUUUUAGUUUCAUACUCUUGGUGAUUAUUUCAAAUACAUUUGCUAAAUUAGACACAUUUGAUUAAUAAGAAUUAUGUUAAUGAUUUUGUUAUAUCUGAUCCCGAAUGUAGAUGUUUUGUAGGUUAGCACUAUCAAGACAUGUGAAAAGGUACUCUUCUUUGAAAUAUUUCGAAGGUUUUGAUUUCAGUGAAGAAAAGCGUAGAUUUAAAAGUAGAUUGAGAAAGUGUUUAAGGUAACCGGUUAAAAAAAAAUAAAAAUAAGUCUACUUUUAAAGUGUUUGAGUUAACUGUAAGGCUGUUGGUGUUGACCAUCGUUCAACAAAUCAAUUUGCAGAACAACGUUGGCACCACAGCUACCGUGUUAACUGUAAGGUUGUUAUUGAUGACCAGCAUUCGACACAUGUCCUUGUGUAUCGAGGGAACUGUAGUUUACAACCAAGGCAAAUGUUGUUGAAGCGGCUGGUGCAUCAACAAUCCUUAUUAUUAACAAUCGCACAGGUACAUUAUGAACUCAUGUUUUGUGAGAGUUUAAAAUUCAAAAGUCCCUUAACGUGCAUUGCGUAUGCGACCACCAAAUAACGUGCAUAGUUAUGCAUAUAACAUGCAUAAUUAGGUUUUAUUCAUGCGUGAAUUGUGUGACCACGUGCAUAAUUAGGGGUUUCGCCAGUAUGUUUUUUGUAUUUUGUUCAUGCGUGAUUUUGUGUUUAACCUAUGCGUAAUUUACAAACCAACAUGUCUAAUUAAGUCGUGUAUGUUUUGCACGUUAAGGGGCUAUUGUACCUUAACCUUCCCAUAUGUUAUGUAUCUGAAACGGGUUACAUAGAUCCAAUAUAAGUACCAGCUUAUAAAGAAACGUGUCAAGUGGCCUGUUUUAGCAUAGAACACAAGUUUUAACUGCUUUGAUUCAAACCUGUUUUGACCUGUUACCCGACAUGAGCUCCCAUUUCUCUACUUUGCCACUUUAGGUUAUUAUGAUGGUUAUACAAAUAUAAUAAUCUUUAUUUUUUUUAUAGAACUCUUCAAGAUGGUGUGUGAAGCAGAUGAACCAACCGUUAAUAUUGGCAUCCCUGUAGUCAUGCUUCCACAAGAUGCUGGUGAAAGUUUGAAACAGAGUCUCCAGGAAAAAAUAAAUGGCAUGGUUUAUUGAACUCUUUAUUGAAUUAUUAAUUGAGAAGAACAAACCUUAAAUUAAUUGGAAAUGCCUAUGUUUUUCCACCGUUUCUGUGCAGAUACACUCUCCAAAACGCCCAUUGGUUGAUGUUGCUAAGGUGUUUUUAUGGCUUAUGGCUAUUGGUACCAUUCUGUUCGCAUCUUACUGGUCUGCUUGGAGUGCCAGAGAAGUAGCUAUUGAGCAGGACAAACUUUUAAAAUAGACAAAGAACUUUCUUCUUCCCUUAAUGACACCUCUGAUCGGAUAACUGAUGUUGUAGUUGUUGCACGCAUAUUGAAUGCUACGUUGGUUGUUCCUGAGUUGGAUCAUCAUUCGUUUUGGAAAGACGAUAGGUGCAUGGAAGAAAAAAAUGUCUAGCCGACUUUCGAACUCUCACACAAUGUAUUUGACCGAUGCGAGUAAAUGAUGUGCUUCUUAAGAUCAAAGCCAUGGUGAAAUUGUUAUAAAAUCAAAAGAAUUUCUUUUGAUAGAUGGUGGUGUCAUGCUCUCUUUGCUGGUAUUGUUGGCUCUAAUCUGGUAUUUUGGAGUUGGUUGCCAAUGGUGCCAUAGGUGGUUUUAUCAUAAUUGUUCCGGUUUGAUCUAAAUGUGUUUUGAACCAACAUUUUCAUUUUCAUAUGUUUACUGAUGAUUAAAUUGUUUAUGUCCUUCUCUCAUUUUUUUUCUUGAGGAUUUAUUUUCUAUUUGAUUUGUAUUCUAUGAUAUCUUGGUUCAUAUUCUAUGAUAUCUUGUA